rnacentral:rRNA from 1 species
UAUGUAGGGUGCAGGCGUUAAUCGGAAUUACUGGGCGUAAAGCGUGCGCAGGCGGUUUCUUAAGUCAGAUGUGAAAGCCCCGGGCUUAACCUGGGAACUGCGUUUGAAACUGGGAGACUUGAGUGUGGCAGAGGGGGGUGGAAUUCCACGUGUAGCAGUGAAAUGCGUAGAGAUCGGGAGGAACACCAGUGGCGAAGGCGGCCUUCUGGACCAAUACUGACGCUCAUGCACGAAAGCGUGGGGAGCAAACAGG